rnacentral:rRNA from 1 species
GAUGAACGCUGGCGGCGUGCCUAAUACAUGCAAGUCGAGCGAACAGACGAGGAGCUUGCUCCUCUGACGUUAGCGGCGGACGGGUGAGUAACACGUGUAUAACCCACCUAUAAGACUGGGAUAACUUCGGGAAACCGGAGCUAAUACCGGAUAAUAUAUUGAACCGCAUGGUUCAAUAGUGAAAGACGGUUUUGCUGUCACUUAUAGAUGGAUCCGCGCCGCAUUAGCUAGUUGGUAAGUUAACGGCUUACCAAGGCGACGAUGCGUAGCCGACCUGAGAGAGUGAUCGGCCACACUGGAACUGAGACACGGUCCAGACUCCUACGGGAGGCAGCAGUAGGGAAUCUUCCGCAAUGGGCGAAAGCCUGACGGAGCAACGCCGCGUGAGUGAUGACGGUCUUCGGAUCGUAAAACUCUGUUAUUAGGGAAGAACAAAUGUGUAAGUAACUAUGCACGUCUUGACGGUACCUAAUCAGAAAGCCACGGCUAACUACGUG